UAGAAAAAUAUGGAUAUUUUCGUGAUACUGCAUACCAGCAAACGCAGAGCGAAUGGAAUCAUACCAUUAUUAAUGAGUUAUUGAAAAGUAAGGCUUUUACUCGAAAGCAGCUCGAAGAAGCACCAAAAAACCUUGUUCAAGCCAUUCACCGGAUCCUGGCCAAACUGAAGCAGUAUACUGAUCUCGUUGACGGCUUUGAUGAAAAGAUCCAU